GGGCUUCAGAAUUGAAACGGCGGGGCGGGCAGGGCCUAAACACAUGGCAAGUUCGAAACGGGUAGUCACAGGAGAGGCUUGCUUCUCGGGGUGACGGAGUGGGCGGACGGGGUGAGGUAAGGUCUGGGAAAACGGCCUGAUGGAGGGGGGAUAACUACUGGAAACGGUAGCUAAUACCGCAUAACGUCGCAAGACCAAAGAGGGGGGACCUUCGGGCCUCUUGCCAUCAGAUGUGCCCAGAUGGGAUUAGCUAGUAGGUGGGGUAACGGCUCACCUAGGCGACGAUCCCUAGCUGGUCUGAGAGGAUGACCAGCCACACUGGAACUGAGACACGGUCCAGACUCCUACGGGAGGCAGCAGUGGGGAAUAUUGCACAAUGGGCGCAAGCCUGAUGCAGCCAUGCCGCGUGUAUGAAGAAGGCCUUCGGGUUGUAAAGUACUUUCAGCGGGGAGGAAGGUGUUGUGGUUAAUAACCACAGCAAUUGACGUUACCCGCAGAAGAAGCACCGGCUAACUCCGUGCCAGCAGCCGCGGUAAUACGGAGGGUGCAAGCGUUAAUCGGAAUUACUGGGCGUAAAGCGCACGCAGGCGGUCUGUCAAGUCGGAUGUGAAAUCCCCGGGCUCAACCUGGGAACUGCAUUCGAAACUGGCAGGCUGGAGUCUUGUAGAGGGGGGUAGAAUUCCAGGUGUAGCGGUGAAAUGCGUAGAGAUCUGGAGGAAUACCGGUGGCGAAGGCGGCCCCCUGGACAAAGACUGACGCUCAGGUGCGAAAGCGUGGGGAGCAAACAGGAUUAGAUACCCUGGUAGUCCACGCCGUAAACGAUGUCGAUUUGGAGGUUGUGCCCUUGAGGCGUGGCUUCCGGAGCUAACGCGUUAAAUCGACCGCCUGGGGAGUACGGCCGCAAGGUUAAAACUCAAAUGAAUUGACGGGGGCCCGCACAAGCGGUGGAGCAUGUGGUUUAAUUCGAUGCAACGCGAAGAACCUUACCUGGUCUUGACAUCCACAGAACUUUCCAGAGAUGGAUUGGUGCCUUCGGGAACUGUGAGACAGGUGCUGCAUGGCUGUCGUCAGCUCGUGUUGUGAAAUGUUGGGUUAAGUCCCGCAACGAGCGCAACCCUUAUCCUUUGUUGCCAGCGGUUAGGCCGGGAACUCAAAGGAGACUGCCAGUGAUAAACUGGAGGAAGGUGGGGAUGACGUCAAGUCAUCAUGGCCCUUACGACCAGGGCUACACACGUGCUACAAUGGCGCAUACAAAGAGAAGCGACCUCGCGAGAGCAAGCGGACCUCAUAAAGUGCGUCGUAGUCCGGAUUGGAGUCUGCAACUCGACUCCCUGAAGUCGGAAUCGCUAGUAAUCGUAGAUCAGAAUGCUACGGUGAAUACGUUCCCGGGCCUUGUACACACCGCCCGUCACACCAUGGGAGUGGGUUGCAAAAGAAGUAGGUAGCUUAACCUUCGGGAGGGCGCUUACCACUUUGUGAUUCAUGACUGGGUGAAGUCGUAACAG
rnacentral:rRNA from 1 species